CAGGAACGAGCUCGCGGCCUCAUCAGCUUCGUUGGUGGGGGUAAACGGCCUACCAAGGCGUCGACGGGUAGCCGGCCUGAGAGGGUGGAACGGCCACAUUCGGGACUGAGAUACGGCCCAGAACUCCUACGGGAGGCAGCAGUGGGGAAAUAUUUGCACAAUGGGCGCCAAGCCUGAUGCAGCGACGCCGCGUGGGGGAAUGAACGGCCUUCGGGUUUGUAAACUCCUUUUCUUAGGGACGAAACCGCACCUGUUUUUGGGUUGUGGUGACGGUACCUUUGUUAAGAAGCACCGGCUAACUACGUGCCAGCAGCCGCGGUAAUACGUAGGGUGCGAGCGUUGUCCGGAAUUACUGGGCGUAAAGAGCUCGUAAGUGGUUUGUUGCGUCGUCUGUGAAAUUCCGGGGCUUAACUUCGGGGUGGCAGGCGAUACGGGCAUAACUAGAGUGCUGUAGGGGAGACUGGAAUUCCUGGUGUAGCGGUGGAAUGCGCAGAUAUCAGGAGGAACACCGAUGGCGAAGGCAGGUCUCUGGGCAGUAACUGACGCUGAGGAGCGAAAGCAUGGGGAGCGAACAGGAUUAGAUACCCUGGUAGUCCAUGCUGUAAACGGUGGGCGUUAGGUGUGGGGACCGGUUUGGUUUCUGUGCCGUAGCUAACGCAUUAAGCGCCCCGCCUGGGGAGUACGGCCGCAAGGCUAAAACUCAAAGGAAUUGACGGGGGCCCGCACAAGCGGCGGAGCAUGUGGAUUAAUUCGAUGCAACGCGAAGAACCUUACCUGGGUUUGACAUGCACCAGACGGUUGUAGAGAUACGUACCUCCCUUUGUGGUUGGUGUGCAGGUGGUGCAUGGUUGUCGUCAGCUCGUGUCGUGAGAUGUUGGGUUAAGUCCCGCAACGAGCGCAACCCUUGUCUUAUGUUGCCAGCACUUUGGGUGGGGACUCAUGAGAGACUGCCGGGGUUAACUCGGAGGAAGGUGGGGAUGACGUCAAAUCAUCAUGCCCUUUAUGCCCAGGGCUUCACACAUGCUACAAUGGUUAGUACAACGCGCAGCAAACCUGUGAGGGUGAGCGAAUCGCUGAAAGCUAAUCUCAGUUCGGAUUGGGGUCUGCAACUCGACCCCAUGAAAGUCGGAGUCGCUAGUAAUCGCAGAUCAGCAAAUGCUGCGGUGAAUACGUUCCCGGGCCCUUGCACACACCGCCCGUCA
rnacentral:rRNA from 1 species